rnacentral:lncRNA from 1 species
GUCUUGUCGGGGAACCUGUUGAAGAUCCAGGAGUUGAGAAAUAUGUUUAGAGAUUCUCAGGGCCAAAAAUGUGGUUAGAAAUCAAAUACAGGAAAGAAACUUGGAUGAUUGGAGACCCUGUUCAAAGAUGACCUCCUUUGUGACAACUUUCAGGCCCCAGAGUGGGUUGCUGUUGCCUCAGUGCCCUCAGGCUCUGAAAGUGCCUCUUCCUGCCUGGACCACAGCAUGCAGGGAGUGGAGCUGCUCGAAUGUGAAUGUCCUGGCAGGAGGGGGCAGCUGUGCUCACAGGUCUCCAGCACGUUUAAUUGUGGCACUACCUCACCCAGUGUGAAGUCCAUCGUCCCAGUGGCCUUUGCCAUGGGCUGAGUGUGUGUCCUGCAGCAUCAUGAAGCUGGGAGAAGAUGUCCGCUUGGGUAAUUCAUUGAAGGACUGAACAAA